rnacentral:rRNA from 1 species
GAUGAACGCUAGCUACAGGCUUAACACAUGCAAGUCGAGGGACCGGCGCACGGGUGAGUAACACGUAUCCAACCUGCCCUUUACUCGGGGAUAGCCUUUCGAAAGAACGAUUAAUACCCGAUAUAAAGGAUGGGGAUGCGUUCCAUUAGGUUGUUGGUGAGGUAACGGCUCACCAAGCCUUCGAUGGAUAGGGGUUCUGAGAGGAAGGUCCCCCACAUUGGAACUGAGACACGGUCCAAACUAGUACGGGAGGAAGUAGUGAGGAAUAGUGGUGAAUGGGCGCUAGCCUGAAGCAGCCAAGUAGCGGGAAGGAUGAAGGCUUAUGGGUCGUAAACUUCUUUGAUAUGAGAAUAUGUAUUAUAUGAAUAAGGAUCGGCUAACUCCGUGCCAGCCGCCGCGGUAAUUC